rnacentral:rRNA from 1 species
AAGCCGGAAUUGCUAGUAAUGGCAGGUCAGCAUACUGCCGUGAAUACGUUCCCGGGCCUUGUACACACCGCCCGUCACACCAUGAGAGUUGGAAAUACCCGAAGCCUGUGAGCUGACCGUAAGGGGGCAGCAGUCGAAGGUAGAGCCAAUGAUUGGGGUGAAGUCGUAACAAGGUAGC